GUGCUUGCUUCAGCAGCACAUAUACUAAAAUUGAAAUGAUACAGAGAAGAUUAGCAUGGCCCCUGCACAAGGAUGACGUAAAUUUGUUAAGCGUUCCAUAUUUUU
rnacentral:snRNA from 1 species